rnacentral:rRNA from 1 species
CAGCUAGUUGGUAGGGUAAUGGCCUACCAAGGCUUUGAUCGUUAGCUGGUCUGAGAGGAUGGCCAGCCACACUGGAACUGAGACACGGUCCAGACUCCUACGGGAGGCAGCAGUGGGGAAUCUUGCACAAUGGGCGAAAGCCUGAUGCAGCGACGCCGCGUGGGGGAUGAAGCUUUUCGGAGUGUAAACCCCUUUCGAUCCGGACGAAUGCCUCGCAAGAGGAGUGACGGUACGGAUAUAAGAAGCCCCGGCUAACUACGUGCCAGCAGCCGCGGUAAUACGUAGGGGGCCAGCGUUGCUCGGAAUUACUGGGUGUAAAGGGUUCGUAGGCGGUGUGGCAAGUUGGGAGUGAAAUCUCUGGGCUCAACCCAGAGACGGCUUCCAAAACUGCCGUGCUUGAGUGUGAGAGAGGCUCGUGGAAUUGCAGGUGUAGCGGUGAAAUGCGUAGAUAUCUGCAGGAACACCCGUGGCGAAAGCGGCGAGCUGGAUCACUACUGACGCUGAAGAACGAAAGCUAGGGGAGCAAACAGGAUUAGAUACCCUGGUAGUCCUAGCCCUAAACGAUCAGGACUUGGGGUGCCACCCGUUCGGGUGGCGUCCCGGAGCUA